CCUACGGGUGGCAGCAGUGAGGAAUAUUGGUCAAUGGACGGAAGUCUGAACCAGCCAUGCCGCGUGCAGGAAGAAGGCUCUAUGAGUUGUAAACUGCUUUUGUACAAGAGUAAACCUGAAUACGUGUAUUUAGCUGAAAGUACUGUACGAAUAAGGAUCGGCUAACUCCGUGCCAGCAGCCGCGGUAAUACGGAGGAUCCAAGCGUUAUCCGGAUUUAUUGGGUUUAAAGGGUGCGUAGGCGGUUUCUUAAGUUAGAGGUGAAAGUUGCGGGCUUAACUCGGGAAUUGCCUCUAAUACUGUUGGUCUCGAGAGUAGAUGCGGUAGGCGGAAUGUAUGGUGUAGCGGUGAAAUGCUUAGAGAUCAUACAGAACACCGAUUGCGAAGGCAGCUUACCAAUCUAUAUCUGACGUUGAGGCACGAAAGCGUGGGGAUCAAACAGGAUUAGAUACCCUUGUAGUC
rnacentral:rRNA from 1 species